rnacentral:rRNA from 1 species
CGCCUUUAGAGCGGCCCGCGUCUGAUUAGCUAGUUGGUGAGGUAAAGGCUCACCAAGGCGACGAUCAGUAGCUGGUCUGAGAGGAUGACCAGCCACAUUGGGACUGAGACACGGCCCAAACUCCUACGGGAGGCAGCAGUGGGGAAUCUUGCGCAAUGGGCGAAAGCCUGACGCAGCCAUGCCGCGUGAAUGAUGAAGGUCUUAGGAUUGUAAAAUUCUUUCACCGGGGACGAUAAUGACGGUACCCGGAGAAGAAGCCCCGGCUAACUUCGUGCCAGCAGCCGCGGUAAUACGAAGGGGGCUAGCGUUGCUCGGAAUUACUGGGCGUAAAGGGAGCGUAGGCGGACAUUUAAGUCAGGGGUGAAAUCCCAGAGCUCAACUCUGGAACUGCCUUUGAUACUGGGUGUCUUGAGUAUGAUAGAGGUAUGUGGAACUCCGAGUGUAGAGGUGAAAUUCGUAGAUAUUCGGAAGAACACCAGUGGCGAAGGCGACAUACUGGAUCAUUACUGACGCUGAGGCUCGAAAGCGUGGGGAGCAAACAGGAUUAGAUACCCUGGUAGUCCACGCCGUAANCNNGAUUGCUAGUUGUUGGGAUGUUU